rnacentral:lncRNA from 1 species
GAAGACUGUCGGAUCCUGUGAAGCUGGAGUUACAGGCAGUUGUGAGUGCUCGGACAUGGGUUCUAGGCACCAAACUCAGGUCUUGUGGAAAGGCUGGAAUCACCAUCUCUGCAGCUCAAUUAUUGUUAUUUUUAAUAAUUUUCUGGUCAUGUGGGAAAAUGUACAUGAGUAAAGAUUUGUUGAAGCAUUCAGAGAUGAAAUAAAGCAUGAAGAAAUAAAUUCAAACAGGUCAGAGAAAGUAUAGGUAAAUAUAAGAACAGAUUAAAUACAGCAACGUAUUACCACUGUUGACCCAGUAAGGAAGACAUACCUCAGUGUCCAUACAGCUCUGAACAUUUCUGUAUAUUAGUAAAUGUUCAAUUUAAAAAAUAUUAGGACUAGAAAGAUGGCUCGGUGGUUAAGAGCUCUGGCUAUUCUUUCAGAAGACUCAGGUUCAGUUCUCAGCACCCGUUUGGUACACAUACAUACAUGCAGGCAAAAUGCUCAGAACACAUCAAAUAAAAUAAUACUUUUCAAAAAUCUAUAUUUGUGGCAUGGUGGUACCACAGCAUGCAUGUCAAGGUCAGAGGACAGUCUUGGUUUACAGACCUCACUUUCUACACUGUUUAAAGCAAGGUCUAUUGUUCCCCACUGUGUAUACCAGGAUAUCUGCCUCCCAAACAUCCUGAAAUUCUCCAGUGCCUCCCAUCCUGCCCUAGGAGUGAUGACGUUAUAGAUAAGGGCUACUGUGCCUGGUUUUAUGUGUGUUCUAG